rnacentral:ncRNA from 2 species
AUAAUCCCCCAGCAUCAAGGUGCUCAUUUGAGCUUGAAAGGGAACCCUGUGAAAGUCAGGGACGGGCCCACCGCUGUAAACGGGGACCACCGCCGCAACCAUGUCACUGUGCCGAAAUGGUAUGGGAAGGCGCGGCCAGUAGGAUGAUCCGUGAGUCAGAAGACCUGCCUAAGCGAUUAAAGAUUU